GGACUUUUUUUGAGCGGGUUUUCGGUCUGCCCUGACGGGUGUGUACUGGCCCCUCGGUCCUAUCAUCACCUUUCGAACACCUCCCCCUGCUCUUAAAUGAGUGGGGGAUUCAGGAGGUUUCGAAUCGUUUACUUUGAAAAAAUUAGAGUGUCCAAAGCAGGCCUAUACACGGUGCCUUGAAUACAUUAGCAUGGGAUAAUGGAAUAGGACCUCGUUCCUAUUUCGUUGGUUUUCGGGAGCUUGGUA
rnacentral:rRNA from 1 species